AUUUGAUGGUGUGGGCAACUUGCACAUAGUUUCUUGAAACGCUCCCAAUAUUCAUACAGGGACUCUCCAUUAUUUUGCCUUAUACCACAAAUUUCCUUUCUAAUGUU
rnacentral:snoRNA from 1 species